AGGUUAGUAAUUUAUAUAAAAUAUUAGCUUGUCAAGCCAAAAAAAAGGAACUCCUUUUAGCCUG
rnacentral:tRNA from 1 species